rnacentral:lncRNA from 1 species
UCAAUUCCAGUGUGUAUCAAACAUGUAGGACUACAACUCCAACACUUAACAUCAUCAUAACAACAAUAAAUCAAGCAUCUAAAGUAUGGUCAAACCUUGUCAGAAAAAUUAACACUUAGAAAAUUCUGGGCUGCCCAGAAUUUUUCGGUCAAUGCCGGUCAACCCACUUUGAUCUUAAAUAACUCUUAAUCCAUAAUAUAUAUGGACCCUAUUCGUUUUGGAGGUUAAAUACCACAUAACAAGAUACACAUAACAACCUUUAGAACACAAAAAACAUUAAAUAUAACUGGGAUAUAAGGCCUGACAUUUUCCAAAAUAAUAUUUUCUGAACACUUAGAAUAUUUUCUGGGUUUGAAGAACAGUCGGUCAAUGCCGGUCAACCCACUUUGACCGCUUAUAAAUCCCGAUCUACAAUAGAUAUGAACUUGAUUCCUUUUGGAGAUUAAAGACCACAUAUCAGGCUACCUAUAACAACUUUUAAACAACAAAACUCGUGAUCGACCAAAGAGUUAUAGCCUCUGACAUUUGGUGAAAAAUAACAGAAUUCGGUUUUUCCAACUUGUUUAAAUCUUCAAAUUCGUGCACUUUGAUGUUAUGGGUCUGUGUUUUUACAACCCAGAACAUUAAUAGACUCCCUAUUACACUACUUUAAACAAUCAAUUGCAUCAAUUAACAUCGAAUCGAAGGAUUUCAAAAUUAGAGAAUUUCAUACCUUUUCUAGCUUCGAUUUUUGAUUUUUUUGGCUUUGAUGCUUCUGAUUUGUUGUUUGUGGUUGUUGGGCUUUGUUUAGGGACUGAUAUGCUAGAUAAUUUCGUUGGCUAGAGGUUGAGAGAGUCUAGGAUGAGAGUUAGGAGAAUUCAAGUGUGCAUUUUGCAUUAACUCUCUUUGAUCUCUAUUUAUAGGCCAAUUCUAAUGCUUUGGAUGCUCAAUUUGGUUGUAUAAUUGAGGUGUAAUGGUAUAGUAGCAUGAGGGAAUUCUAGAAGGUGGUGGUUGGCUAGCUUUUUCAAAGAUUCUAGCAACAAUGCUACUAAUAAUACACUAAAAUGGAC